rnacentral:rRNA from 1 species
AGUGAACGCUGGCGGUAGGCCUAACACAUGCAAGUCGAACGGCAGCACAGGAGAGCUUGCUCUCUAGGUGGCGAGUGGCGGACGGGUGAGGAAUACAUCGGAAUCUGCCCAGUCGUGGGGGAUAACGUAGGGAAGCUUACGCUAAUACCGCAUACGACCUUCGGGUGAAAGAGGGGGAUCGCAAGACCUCUCGCGAUUGGAUGAGCCGAUGUCGGAUUAGCUAGUUGGCGGGGUAAUGGCCCACCAAGGCGACGAUCCGUAGCUGGUCUGAGAGGAUGAUCAGCCACACUGGAACUGAGACACGGUCCAGACUCCUACGGGAGGCAGCAGUGGGGAAUAUUGGACAAUGGGCGCAAGCCUGAUCCAGCCAUACCGCGUGGGUGAAGAAGGCCUUCGGGUUGUAAAGCCCUUUUGUUGGGAAAGAAAUCUUUCAGGCUAAUACCCUGGGAGGAUGACGGUACCCAAAGAAUAAGCACCGGCUAACUUCGUG